rnacentral:rRNA from 1 species
AGGUUUCCGUANGUGAACCUGCGGAAGGAUCAUUC